CGCCCUUAGAGUUUGAUCAUGGCUCAGACUGAACGCUGGCGGCAGGCUUAACACAUGCAAGUCGAGCGGUAGGAGAGCUUGCUCUCUACGAGCGGCGGACGGGUGAGUAAUGUCUGGGAAACUGCCUGAUGGAGGGGGAUAACUACUGGAAACGGUAGCUAAUACCGCAUAAUGUCGCAAGACCAAAGAGGUUCGUCUUGCCAUCAGAUGUGCCCAGAUGGGAUUAGCUAGUAGGUGGGGUAAUGGCUCACCUAGGCGACGAUCCCUAGCUGGUCUGAGAGGAUGACCAGCCACACUGGAACUGAGACACGGUCCAGACUCCUACGGGAGGCAGCAGUGGGGAAUAUUGCACAAUGGGCGCAAGCCUGAUGCAGCCAUGCCGCGUGUAUGAAGAAGGCCUUAGGGUUGUAAAGUACUUUCAGCGAGGAGGAAGGCGUUGUAUAAUUGCAACGAUUGACGUUACUCGCAGAAGAAGCACCGGCUAACUCCGCGCCAGCAGCCGCGGUAAUACGAGGGUGCAAGCGUUAAUCGGAAUUACUGGGCGUAAAGCGCACGCGGGCGGUUUGUUAAGUCAGAUGUGAAAUCCCCGGGCUCAACCUGGGAACUGCAUUUGAAACUGGCAAGCUUGAGUCU
rnacentral:rRNA from 1 species